GUGGGGAAUCUUGCGCAAUGGGCGAAAGCCUGACGCAGCAACGCCGCGUGCGGGAUGACGGCCUUCAAGGUUGUAAACCGCUUUCAGCAGGGACGAAAAUGACGGUACCUGCAGAAGAAGCCCCGGCUAACUACGUGCCAGCAGCCGCGGUAAUACGUAGGGGGCAAGCGUUGUCCGGAUUCAUUGGGCGUAAAGAGCUCGUAGGCGGUUCAGUAAGUCGGGUGUGAAAGCUCCGAGCUCAACUCGGAGAGGCCACCCGAUACUGCUGUGACUUGAGUACAGUAGGGGAGCGUGGAAUUCCUGGUGUAGCGGUGAAAUGCGCAGAUAUCAGGAGGAACACCAGCGGCGAAGGCGGCGCUCUGGGCUGUAACUGACGCUGAGGAGCGAAAGUGUGGGUAGCAAACAGGAUUAGAUACCCCAGUAGUCC
rnacentral:rRNA from 1 species